ensembl:lncRNA
AUGGACACCAAGGUGUCCCUGCAGCUCCAUGUGUCUCUAAUUGUCCUCCUGUCUUUCCUGCAGGAGAGGCGUGAAAGAGAACGGACUCACAACUCGCUCUUUUCGGGCUCCUUUAACCCCCCCCCCCCCCCCCCACACUCUUUGGUUUUCACACGUUCAUCGAAAACACCUCCGGUGCCUCAGGAUGCGGCUCCAGUGCGGGAGGGAGGUCUGUUGAGGCCGGGGGGGGGGUCUAUGCUCACAAUGACUGGGGGGCAGUGGGGUUGGGGAUGGGGGGGCACCAAAACACUGGGUUCCUGCUCGUUUCCUGCCUUUCUCCCUGGACGUGGUGAAGGAAACCCACUUCCCUGUGGUCUCUCUCUCUCUCUCUCUCUCUCUUUCCCCCACCCCCUCCUCUCGCUGUUUUGCACACUCCCUAGCCGGCGUGCCCACACACACAGACACACAGACACACACACACACACACGCGCACUCCCAACUCAAGCGCUCGUGCCAUCAGGCUCUCUGGAGGAACUCGUGCUCCCGCUCACUAGGUUCACCCGAGCGUACCGGUCUGGGGGGGUCGGCACGUGGCCCCCCCCGUUGGACAUGGAGAGGCUGGAGUCAUUCAGGAGGAAGGCAGCCGCCACCAACUUGGACUCGGAGCGCGAGAGAUCAGCCCACUUCCGAUCGUCAUGGCAACAGCAUGCGAACGUGUUCGGCUCGUGGAGCAGGCCGGAGUGCGUGCGGGAGCUGCAUGAGGAGGCGCGGCUCAACCUCCACCGCCUGCUGCAAGAAUUCGAGGAGCAGCUGUACGGGGACAAGGUGACAGGACAGACAUUCCGACCAACUGGACAGCCAUCCUCUCCGAGCUCAGAGGACACAGGCCAAAGCAGCAGCCGGAGACCCGACUUCGUCUUCCUGGCGCGUGACGGCGGCACCGUACCCGUAGGGUUCCCGGCGUCCGACACGGGUGGCGGCAGUCCAGCCCGACCACACCUGCUGUCGCGCUCCUCGAGGGGACCCCCUGUGGCCGAGAAGCCCCGUUGGUACCUGAGAUGCCGCGCUCCCGCCCGCCUGCUGCCCGCUGAUGUGACAGGUUAGGUUUUUCCCGGAGUUCUCUUCUCUCCGCUGCAUUCUCCUCGAUGCAUGUGAUCCUGUGUUUUCCACUCUUUUUUCGUUUUCUCCUUGUUCUCUUCUCUCUGUUCAUGUUUCCUUUUGCCACCGCUCCCCUCUGCACGGUGCAGUACAUGAGGUUUACUGAUGCACUUAAACCACUGGCCACUUCCCAGGACCCAGGAAGUGUUAUUUUGCUUGAAACAGGUAGAAGUUGCUAUGGCAACCCCAGAUUUUCCUUUGCCUCUGAGUCUCAGAUAUGGAGAUGUAAACAAGAAGGGAACAGCGAGAGAAAAUAGUCUUGUCCUCACUCUACAUGCUCCGCUUCCCAACUCUUUUGCUCGUCUUCUUACAUGAGGCACAUACAGUGAAACAUGUUACGUUCUUCUGCAAAGUCAGCCAUUUGGUUUUCGUGAGUCAAUUCACUGUGUCCAAUGAGCAAAACGUGUUUACAUGUUAAAGUUAUAAAGAACAAUGGAGCAGUCUGAGGAUUUGCAUUAAAUUCAACUAAAUUCUAAAUCUUAUUAUUGCUAAUAAUUGGCGCAGGCUCUACGCUGCCUGGAGGAGUUUGUCCCCGCGGUCGUCCGGAUGCUAUAAGGCAGAGGAUAUUUUACACGUGAUGCUGGUGCUCAGCAGGGCACUCUUAGGCGCUGUGGUCUGGAGGAGCACUGGUCUGCAAAGAGAGGGGACAGUUGCACACAGUGGAAAUGCGGUACGAUUUCUGGACUGGCGCACCAUCAAAGCCAUGGCGGGAACCAGACGGGCACCUGCGUGGACUGGCUGUGUGCAGCGUGAGCUUCUCUUCCUCUUCAGACCACAAAGUGGAAAUCGCAUCGUAUGCGUAGUGACCACAAAACAAAAUGCACUCAAAUCUCAUAGCUGUGGAGCAGGGAAUUACGUUUCUGCAAACAAAUAUGAAAACAACGUUAUGUCUGUUUUCACUGUCCGUGAGAACGUGGACUGUACGAAAUGUACUGCGUUGUUCUUGUUGGAUCUGUUGAAUCUCUGCUCUUCGCACACCAAGGGAAUGAAAUUGUGUGUCCUUGUGGCCACUAAAGAGUGAGGCGGUCAAAUGUUUUGAGCAAAUAAAAAAAUUGUGUUUCAUCA